rnacentral:rRNA from 1 species
AAGUAAAAGUCGUAACAAGGUUUCCGUAGGUGAACCUGCGGAAGGAUCAUUAGUGAAUAUAGGACGUCCAACUUAACUUGGAGUCCGAACUCUCACUUUCUAACCCUGUGCACUUGUUUGGGAUAGUAACUCUCGCAAGAGAGCGAACUCCUAUUCACUUAUAAACACAAAGUCUAUGAAUGUAUUAAAUUUUAUAACAAAAUAAAACUUUCAACAACGGAUCUCUUGGCUCUCGCAUCGAUGAAGAACGCAGCGAAAUGCGAUAAGUAAUGUGAAUUGCAGAAUUCAGUGAAUCAUCGAAUCUUUGAACGCACCUUGCGCUCCAUGGUAUUCCGUGGAGCAUGCCUGUUUGAGUGUCAUGAAUACUUCAACCCUCCUCUUUCUUAAUGAUUGAAGAGGUGUUUGGUUUCUGAGCGCUGCUGGCCUUUACGGUCUAGCUCGUUCGUAAUGCAUUAGCAUCCGCAAUCGAACUUCGGAUUGACUUGGCGUAAUAGACUAUUCGCUGAGGAAUUCUAGUCUUCGGACUAGAGCCGGGUUGGGUUAAAGGAAGCUUCUAAUCAGAAUGUCUACAUUUUAAGAUUAGAUCUCAAAUCAGGUAGGACUACCCGCUGAACUUAAGCAUAUCAAUAAGCCGGAAGGA